CGGCCACAUAACGUUGCAACACCGGUUCCUGUAUGAUCACCGAAGUUAAGCAAUAUCGAGCUUGGCCAGUUCCUAGAUAGGUGACUACUUGGGAAUAGUAGAUGCUGUAA